rnacentral:rRNA from 1 species
GGUGCCGUAACAGGUACGUGGAGGUCCGAACCGACUGGUGUUAGCAAAACCAGCGGAUGAGCUGUGGAUAGGGGUGAAAGGCUAAACAAACUUGGAAAUAGCUGGUUCUCUCCGAAAACUAUUUAGGUAGUGCCUCAAGUAUUACCUGCGGGGUAGAGCACUGUUUUGGCUAGGGGGUCAUGGCGACUUACCAAACCAAGGCAAACUCCGAAUACUGCAGAGUACAGCUUGGGAGACAGAGCACCGGGUGCUAACGUCCGGACUCAAGAGGGAAACAACCCCAGACCGCCAGCUAAGGUCCCUAAAAUUGGCUAAGUGGGAAACGAAGUGGGAAGGCUAAAACAGUCAGGAUGUUGGCUUAGAAGCAGCCAUCAUUUAAAGAAAGCGUAAUAGCUCACUGAUCGAGUCGUCCUGCGCGGAAGAUGUAACGGGGCU